rnacentral:rRNA from 1 species
AUUGAACGCUGGCGGCAGGCCUAACACAUGCAAGUCGAACGAGUGGCGGACGGGUGAGUAAUGUCUGGGAAACUGCCCGAUGGAGGGGGAUAACUACUGGAAACGGUAGCUAAUACCGCAUACCAUCGGAUGUGCCCAGAUGGGAGUAGCUAGUAGGUGGGGUAACGGCUCACCUAGGCGACGAUCCCUAGCUGGUCUGAGAGGAUGACCAGCCCCACCGGAACUGAGCCACGGUCCAGUCGCCUACGGGAGGCAGCAGUGGGGAAUAUUGCACAAUGGGCGCAAGCCGGAUGCAGCCAUGCCGCGUGUAUGAAGAAGGCCUUCGGGUUGUAAAGUACUUUCAGCGAGGAGGCGUUACUCGCAGAAGAAGCACCGGCUAACUCCGUGCCAGCAGACGCGGUAAUUC